CGCAGAUAUACGCCCUAGUGGGAUUAGUCUAGUGGUGAGGUAUGUCACCAAGGGCGAUCCCUAGCUGGUCUGGAAGGAUGAUACAGCCAACUGGAACUGAGACACGGUCAGAUCCUACGGAGGCAGCAGUGGGAUAUUGCACAAUGGGCGCAAGCCUGAUGCAGCAUGCCGCGUGUUGAAGAAGGCUUCGGGUUGUAAAGCACUUUCAGUCGUGAGGAAGGGUAGUGUAGUAAUAGCUGCAUAUUUGACGUUAGCGGACCAGAAGAAGCACCGGCUAACUCCGUGCCAGCAGCCGCGGUAAUACGGAGGGUGCGAGCGUUAAUCGGAAUUACUGGGCGUAAAGCGCAUGCAGGUGGUUUGUUAAGUCAGAUGUGAAAGCCCGGGGCUCAACCUCGGAAUAGCAUUUGAAACUGGCAGACUAGAGUACUGUAGAGGGGGGUAGAAUUUCAGGUGUAGCGGUGAAAUGCGUAGAGAUCUGAAGGAAUACCGGUGGCGAAGGCGGCCCCCUGGACAGAUACUGACACUCAGAUGCGAAAGCGUGGGGAGCAAACAGGAUUAGAUACCCUGGUAGUCCACGCCGUAAACGAUGUCUACUUGGAGGUUGUGGCCUUGAGCCGUGGCUUUCGGAGCUAACGCGUUAAGUAGACCGCCUGGGGAGUACGGUCGCAAGAUUAAAACUCAAAUGAAUUGACGGGGGCCCGCACAAGCGGUGGAGCAUGUGGUUUAAUUCGAUGCAACGCGAAGAACCUUACCUACUCUUGACAUCCAGAGAACUUUCAGAGAUGGAUUGGUGCCUUCGGGAACUCUGAGACAAGUGCUGCAUGGCUGUCGUCAGCUCGUGUUGUGAAAUGUUGGGUUAAGUCCCGCAACGAGCGCAACCCUUAUCCUUGUUUGCCAGCACUUCGGGUGGGAACUCCAGGGAGACUGCCGGUGAUAAACCGGAGGAAGGUGGGGACGACGUCAAGUCAUCAUGGCCCUUACGAGUAGGGCUACACACGUGCUACAAUGGCGCAUACAGAGGGCGGCCAACUUGCGAGAGUGAGCGAAUCCCAAAAAGUGCGUCGUAGUCCGGAUCGGAGUCUGCAACUCGACUCCGUGAAGUCGGAAUCGCUAGUAAUCGUGGAUCAGAAUGCCACGGUGAAUACGUUCCCGGGCCUUGUACACACCGCCCGUCACACCAUGGGAGUGGGCUGCAAAAGAAGUAGGUAGUUAACCUCGGGAGACGCUACCAUCUUGGUUUCU
rnacentral:rRNA from 1 species